AACGAACGCUGGCGGCAUGCCUAACACAUGCAAGUCGAACGAGACCUUCGGGUCUAGUGGCGCCCGGGUGCGUAACGCGUGGGAACCUGCCCUUAGGUUCGGCAUAACUCCCCGACAGGGGUGCUAAUACCGGAUAAUGUCUUCGGCCCAAAGAUUUAUCGCCUUUGGAUGGGCCCGCGUUGGAUUAGCUCGUUGGUAGGGUAAAAGCCUACCACGGCGACGAUCCAUAGCUGGUCUGAGAGGAUGAUCAGCCACACUGGGACUGAGACACGGCCGAGACUCCUACGGGAGGGAGCAGUGGGGAAUAGUGGAAAGUGGGCGAAAGCCUGAUCCAGCAAGGCCGCGUGAGUGAUGAAGGCCUUAGGGUUGUAAAGCUAUUUUACCCGGGAGGAUAAUGACAGUACCGGGAGAAUAAGCUCCGGCUAACUCCGUG
rnacentral:rRNA from 1 species